GGGCCAGUACUUCUUCUUAAAGAGAUUCUUCAAGUCAAAGAAGCUUCUGUAAAAUGAGAAUCCGAGAA
rnacentral:ribozyme from 1 species